AUUGAACGCUGGCGGCAGGCCUAACACAUGCAAGUCGAGCGAGCGGCGGACGGGUGAGUAAUGUAUGGGGACUGCCCGAUAGAGGGGGAUAACUACUGGAAACGGUGGCUAAUACCGCAUACUAUCGGAUAACCCAUAUGGGAUUAGCUAGUAGGUGGGGUAAAGGCUCACCUAGGCGACGAUCUCUAGCUGGUCUGAGAGGAUGAUCACCCACACGGGGACUGAGACACGGCCCAGACUCCGACGGAGGCAGAAGUGGGGAAUAUUGCACAAUGGGCGCAAGCUUGAUGAAGCCAUGCCGCGUGUAUGAAGAAGGCCUUAGGUUUGUAAAGAAUUUUAAGCGGGGAGGCGUUACCCGCAGAAGAAGCACCGGUUAACUCCGUGCAAGCAGCCGCGGGAUAC
rnacentral:rRNA from 1 species